CUCUAAUAUUAUUUCAGAUUAUAUAUUUUAAGGAAUAUAUACAGUAAAAAUAUUAGUAUUAAAGAGAUUUAUUCCUUCCUGAAAUAGUAAAAAACUAUUUGUAAAAGGUAAAAAUGAAUCAGUAUAAUUUGUAUUAGUAAAUUUAUUGAAUAUAUGAA
rnacentral:ncRNA from 1 species